UUUGUGUCAAAUUUUAGAGGCAGAAUGUACUUGGAUGGAAACAAAAUUAUGCAAUAGACAGAAAAGAAACAUUUCGGAAUAGCGACGCCUGUGAGAUUCGAACUCGCGCGGGGAAGCAGUCGGCCAAACCGACAUCGUCUGGUUGCUCCUCUUUUUGAUAUAAUUUUUUUUUCCUCUUAAGACUGAAAAAUUAGUUUUGCACAGUUCCGGCGUUUGUAUAUAUAGCAUACGGAGGGAAUGCUUUGCAGUUUCUUCAGCAUUGUCAUCUUGCAGGGACCCUUCCAAAGGAUUCUUGUGUAUUGCUCGGGGCUACUCCACCCAUUUCUUCUGUGUUGCUUCUUUUCUCUGGACUACUACUAUUAUCCUAUUCCUACUGUUGGAACCUCAUUGCUUGUGACUGUAAUACGCUCCAUUGGGCAAUGCGCAUGGACAUUUAGGUCAACAGGGAGAACAAGAAAGGC